AUGGCGGGAGUGAGCAUUGGGACCGGGGCAAUGAACUCCCUCCUCGGCAAGCUCACCGCCUUGCUCAGCGACGAGUACAAUCUGCUCAAGAGGGUCCGCAAGGAGAUCCAGUUCCUUGAGCGCGAGCUCAGCAGCAUGCGAGUCUUGCUGGAGAGGCUGGCGGGCAUGGAGGAGAAACUCGAUGGCCUGGCAAAGGGCUGGAGAGAUAAAGUGCGCGAUCUUAGCUACGACAUAGAAGACUGCAUCGACCGCUUCAUGGACCGGCUUGGAAGCGGUGAUGCCAAACCAAAGUUUAUGAAGAGGAUGGCGCGCCGGCUCAAGACUCUGUGGGCACGCCAUGACAUCGCUACUCAAAUCAAAGAGCUCAAAGCUCGCGUCAUGGAGGAAAGUGAGCGCCGUGAUAGGUACAAGCUUGAUGAGAGUUACUACAGUGCAACGAGGCCGGUGGAGAUAGACCCGCGGAUAACUGCGAUCUACGAGGAGGUCAAGGGCUUGGUGGCAAUGGACGGCCCAAUGAAGCAUGUCAUUGCCUUGCUGAUGGAUGAGAGUAAGGAGUUGAAAGUGGUGCCGAUUGUCGGAUCAGGAGGGUUGGGAAAGACAACCCUGGCCAUGCAGGUCUAUCGCAAGAUUGGACCAGGAGGGGACUUCCAAUGCCAAGCUUGUGUGUCAGUGUCACGCAUACUUGAUCUGGUGAAUCUCUUGAAAGAUAUCUUGUCUCAGAUCGAUAAAGAUGCGUUCAAAGAAUCUCAGAGUUGGAAAAAGGAACAACUAAUUCGUGAAAUCAAACAGAUCUUGACAGGAAAGAGUUUUGUCUGGUCUGGAUGGCUGCUUGUGCGACAAGGCAUGAGUGAGCAAGGCGGCAGGGCUCCAUGUACACACAGGACGGAGAAUAAAGGAAACAUGGACAAAAUAUGGCUCCCACAAAAAAAUUAG
rnacentral:rRNA from 1 species